UACGAAGGGGGCUAGCGUUGUUCGGAAUUACUGGGCGUAAAGCGCACGUAGGCGGUUCUGUAAGUAGAGGGUGAAAUCCCAGGGCUCAACCCUGGAACUGCCUUCUAGACUGCAGGCCUCGAGGUCAGGAGAGGCGAGUGGAAUACCGAGUGUAGAGGUGAAAUUCGUAGAUAUUCGGUGGAACACCAGUGGCGAAGGCGACUCGCUGGACUGAUACUGACGCUGAGGUGCGAAAGCGUGGAGAGCAAACAGG
rnacentral:rRNA from 1 species